CCUACGGGCGGCAGCAGUGGGGAAUAUUGGACAAUGGGGGGAACCCUGAUCCAGCCAUGCCGCGUGUGUGAAGAAGGCCCUCGGGUUGUAAAGCACUUUCAGUGAGGAAGAACGCCUGGUGGUUAAUACCCAUCAGGAAAGACAUCACUCACAGAAGAAGCACCGGCUAACUCCGUGCCAGCAGCCGCGGUAAUACGGAGGGUGCGAGCGUUAAUCGGAAUUACUGGGCGUAAAGCGCGCGUAGGUGGCUGGAUAAGCCGGUUGUGAAAGCCCCGGGCUCAACCUGGGAACGGCAUCCGGAACUGUCAAGCUAGAGUGCAGGAGAGGAAGGUAGAAUUCCCGGUGUAGCGGUGAAAUGCGUAGAGAUCGGGAGGAAUACCAGUGGCGAAGGCGGCCUUCUGGACUGACACUGACACUGAGGUGCGAAAGCGUGGGUAGCAAACAGGAUUAGAUACCCGAGUAGUC
rnacentral:rRNA from 1 species